CCUAGAGUUGUAGGCUUUGCCUGCUAUCUCUUACCCAUGUCUUUUGAGCACCUUAUGUUUCCUCGGCGGGCUCGCCCGCCGAUUGGACAAAAUUUAAACCCUUUGUAGUUUGUAAUCAGCGUCUAGAAAAAAACUUAUAGUUA
rnacentral:misc_RNA from 1 species